rnacentral:misc_RNA from 1 species
GAUGAAGAACGUAGUUAAAUGCGAUAAGUAAUGUGAAUUGCAGAAUUCAGUGAAUCAUCGAAUCUUUGAACGCACAUUGCGCCCCCUGGUAUUCCGGGGGGCAUGCCUGUCCGAGCGUCAUUACAACCCUCAAGCUCUGCUUGGUGUUGGGCCCCGCCGCCCCGGCGGGCCCUAAAGUCAGUGGCGGUGCCAUCCGGCUCCGAGCGUAGUAAUUCUUCUCGCUCUGGAGGUCCGGUUGUGUGCUUGCCAUCAACCCCCAAUUUUUUUCAGGUUGACCUCGGAUCAGGUAGGGAUACCCGCUGAACUUAAGCAUAUCAAUAAGCGGAGGA